GUAGGUGGCAAGCGUUGUCCGGAAUUAUUGGGCGUAAAGCGCGCGCAGGUGGUACUUUAAGUCUGAUGUGAAAGCCCCCGGCUCAACCGGGGAGGGUCAUUGGAAACUGGGGAACUUGAGUGCAGGAGAGGAAAGUGGAAUUCCACGUGUAGCGGUGAAAUGCGUAGAUAUGUGGAGGAACACCAGUGGCGAAGGCGACUUUCUGGCCUGUAACUGACACUGAGGCGCGAAAGCGUGGGGAGCAAACAGGGAUUAGAUACCCUGGUAGUCCACGCCGUAAACGAUGAGUGCUAAGUGUUGGGGGGGUUUCCCGCCCCUCAGUGCUGCAGCUAACGCAUUAAGCACUCCGCCUGGGGAGUACGGUCGCAAGACUG
rnacentral:rRNA from 1 species